GAGUUUGAUCUUGGCUCAGAUUGAACGCUGGCGGCAUGCCUUACACAUGCAAGUCGAACGGCAGCAUGAUCUAGCUUGCUAGAUUGAUGGCGAGUGGCGAACGGGUGAGUAAUACAUCGGAACGUGCCCUGUAGUGGGGAUAACUAGUCGAAAGAUUAGCUAAUACCGCAUACGACCUGAGGGUGAAAGUGGGGGACCGCAAGGCCUCAUGCUAUAGGAGCGGCCGAUGUCUGAUUAGCUAGUUGGUGGGUAAAGGCCCACCAAGGCGACGAUCAGUAGCUGGUCUGAGAGGACGAUCAGCCACACUGGGACUGAGACACGGCCCAGACUCCUACGGGAGGCAGCAGUGGGAAUUUGGACAAUGGGCGAAAGCCUGAUCCAGCAAUGCCGCGUGUGUGAAGAAGGCCUCGGUUGUAAG
rnacentral:rRNA from 1 species